AACGAACGCUGGCGGCAUGCCUAACACAUGCAAGUCGAACGAGACCUUCGGGUCUAGUGGCGCACGGGUGCGUAACACGUGGGAAUUUGCCUCGGGGUAUGGAAUAACUCAGGGAAACUUGAGCUAAUACCAUAUAAUGUCUUCGGACCAAAGAUUUAUCGCCCUGAGAUAAGCCCGCGUAGGAUUAGCUAGUUGGUGAGGUAAAGGCUCACCAAGGCGACGAUCCUUAGCUGGUCUGAGAGGAUGAUCAGCCACACUGGGACUGAGACACGGCCCAGACUCCUACGGGAGGCAGCAGUGGGGAAUAUUGGACAAUGGGCGAAAGCCUGAUCCAGCAAUGCCGCGUGAGUGAUGAAGGCCUCGGUUGGUAAAGUACGUCUUUUGUUCUAGGGAAGGAAACGGUACGUAACU
rnacentral:rRNA from 1 species